rnacentral:rRNA from 1 species
AUUGAACGCUGGCGGCAUGCCUUACACAUGCAAGUCGAACGGUAACAGGUUAAGCUGACGAGUGGCGAACGGGUGAGUAAUGUAUCGGAACGUGCCCAGUCGUGGGGGAUAACUGCUCGAAAGAGCAGCUAAUACCGCAUACGACCUGAGGGUGAAAGCGGGGGAUCGCAAGACCUCGCGCGAUUGGAGCGGCCGAUAUCAGAUUAGGUAGUUGGUGGGGUAAAAGCCCACCAAGCCGACGAUCUGUAGCUGGUCUGAGAGGACGACCAGCCACACUGGGAAUGAGACACGGCCCAGACUCCGAGGGGAGGCAGCAGUGGGGAAUUUUGGACAAUGGGCGCAAGCCUGAUCCAGCCAUGCCGCGUGCGGGAAGAAGGCCUUCGGGUUGUAAACCGCUUUUGUCAGGGAAGAAAAGGUUCUGGUUAAUACCUGGGACUCAUGACGGUACCUGAAGAAUAAGCACCGGCUAACUACGUGCCAGCCGCCGCCGUAAAAC